AGAAGAAUCUAGCCUGGUGUGGCUGUGUGAGUCACACGGCAGUGUGGGGAGCCUGAGGUUUGGGCCACUAGGGGAGAGAUCGCCAGCCGUCCCGUACCCAAAGCUUGUGCCUCAUCUGUCCUUUGAAAUUGAGGCAGACAAAUGGUGACAAGGACAAAUCUUGGAAGAAGCUCUUGGUGUUGUUGGGGUACUAUUACCCUGCACGAGGGAGGUAGACUCAUCCAAGCCAUGUGUAAAUGCUGAUUCUAGGAAGUCAGGAGCCCAAGCUGGAAGCCCAAAUCCACCAAGUAUUAGCCUUGAACAAAUAUCAGUGCUCUUCAUCUGUAAAAUAGAGGAGUUAGAAGCAAACAGGUGUCUUGAAAAGAUGGAGCCAGAAGAUCGGGGAAUAGCUGUGGCUCUGCUGCUAUUAGUCACGUGACUGGGCAAGUAAUUCAAGGUCUGUAAGCCUCCAUUCCCACAUCUGUAAAAUGGGUAUAUAAUGCCCUCCCAGGGUCUGCCUCAGUGAAUUAAAGGGAUAAAUAAAAAUCUUAGACACGUUAUAAAGAAUUAUAAA
rnacentral:lncRNA from 12 species